CCGAGAUGUACAAAAGGUCGAAUGUCAAAGCGUUCGUAUAGCAACUGGCUUUUUGUUAACAAGAGUUCGAUUUGAUCAACUGGUUUAAUUAGUUAUUGGAAGCCGAAACGCAAUGGGAUGAAUUAAAAUUUAUAAGAAGUUUAUAUUCAUAAUUCAGACAUUUAAUUCAAAAUGGAUUUUUUCAAAAGAAAAAAGUGGUUGCUACGGCAACGCAGACGGUCAAAAACUUAAAG
rnacentral:lncRNA from 1 species